UGGGGAAUCUUGCGCAAUGGGCGAAAGCCUGACGCAGCGACGCCGCGUGCGGGAAGAAGGCCUUCGGGUUGUAAACCGCUUUCAGGAGGGACGAAGCCACUCGGGUGAAUAGCCCAGAGGGUGACGGUACCUCCGGAAGAAGCCCCGGCUAACUACGUGCCAGCAGCCGCGGUAAUACGUAGGGGGCAAGCGUUGUCCGGAUUUAUUGGGCGUAAAGAGCGUGUAGGCGGCCACACAGGUCGGUUGUGAAAACUGGAGGCAUUAACCUCCAGACUGUCCGACCGAAACCGUAUGGCUA
rnacentral:rRNA from 1 species